rnacentral:rRNA from 1 species
AUGUGGCGGAAUGAAAAUUUGUAUUUUUUGUCUUUCGUGACUCCAGCAGAUCGAUUGUGUUACAUGAAAGGCUACGGAGCACUGUUUCAUGGGCGCGGAACAGAGCUCACCUUUGGUGAGAGCUAUCCAGAUCUCAUUAAAGGUGGCUAUGAAUCCCUAACCCAGGUGCAACUAGGACGGGAGGCACUACUCCGUGCUAUCCACAUAAUGGCUAAUUAUGAUCCUAGGAUUACCCCUGAGGAAGACAUCAAAGUUGCUGUUCUCACCAUGACCAUCAUGGGACCGGAAUCUCUGAGGUUUAAUGGUGUUCGGGCAAUAUUUACAGCAGAUCUGGACAAGAUAAAAAAGCUUGAGCUAUAUGGAGGAACAGAGAAGUUGCAUGGUAUCCUUGAUAUGAUGCUGAGGCCCCAAAGAAUGGACGACAAUGGAGGUUUAAAGACGAAGGAGCCGAAGCCGAGGAAGCCCAAGGAGUAG